rnacentral:tRNA from 1 species
GGAAGAUGCCUGAAAAAGGAUUAUCUUGAUGUGAUAAAUCAUGUUUAUUAAAAACUCUUCUUAC